GGCGGGUUAGCUCAGGUGGUAGAGCAGCGGAAUCAUAAUCCGCGUGUCGGGGGUUCGAGUCCCUCACCCGCUACAA
rnacentral:tRNA from 3 species